rnacentral:sRNA from 1 species
GACAUUGUGGAGUUUUCCCCAGUAUGGUUUUUAUGAUACUUGGGAAUUUUAGUACAAAUUCAUUCCUUGUAGAUUCCUUGGUGCAAAUGUACUCAUCAGGACUGAGUUGUCAGUCUGUGAAAUUGUCAGUCUUUAACGCAAGGGAGGUAACAUGUAAUAGCCUUUCUAUUGUAUUUUUGUGUGUGUACAUGUACAGUUUCUCUACUGCUCUUAUUAAUAAGAAAUGAUAAAAAAUGUCAUUAC